rnacentral:rRNA from 1 species
GACGAACCGAGCGAACGUUGUUCGGAAUCACUGGGCUUAAAGGGCGCGUAGGCGGGCUGCCAAGUUUGGGGUGAAAUCCUCCGGCUCAACCGGAGCAGUGCCUCGAAUACUGGCGGUCUCGAGGGAGGUAGGGGCGUGCGGAACUGUGGGUGGAGCGGUGAAAUGCGUUGAUAUCCACAGGAACUCCGGUGGCGAAGGCGGCACGCUGGACCUUUUCUGACGCUGAGGCACGAAAGCCAGGGGAGCAAACGGG